UGAUUUUUUUAAUGGCUGCGGUAUUUUGACCGUGCAAAGGUAGCAUAAUCAUUAGUUUAUUAAUUGUUAACUUGUAUGAAUGGUUUAAUGAAAUAAAAACUGUCUUCAUUAUUAUAAUUAGAACUUAAUUUUUUAGUUAAAAGGCUUAAUUUUAAUUAUGGGACGAGAAGACCCUAUAGAUCUUUAUUUUUUAUUAUUUUAUUUAUUAAUUUAUAUUUAAAAUUUUUAUUAAAUUUGGUUGGGGUGACAAGGGGAAAUAAUAAACUCUUCUUUUUUUUUUCAUUUAUUUUUGUUAUUUUAAAUUUUUAUUAUUUAUUUUAGAAUUAGAUACCUUAGGGAUAACAGCGUAAUUUAGUUUGAGAGUUCUUAUUGACAAUUAAUAUUGCGACCUCGAUGUUGGAUUAAGAAUAGUUUUUGGUGCAUAAGUCAUAAAAUUAGGUCUGUUCGACCUUUAAAAUCUUACAUGAUCUGAGUUCAAAA
rnacentral:rRNA from 1 species